rnacentral:tRNA from 1 species
UGUUCUGUAGCUUAGUUAGUGAGAGCGCUGGUCUAGCAUACACAGAGUUGUGAGUUCGAGUCUCACUAAAAUAC